UGCAGGACGCAAGUCACGUGAAAGCGAGACCCUCCUUCGGGACGGACUGCAAGGUGCUGCAUGGUUGUCGUCAGCUCGUGCCGUGAGGUGUCGGGUUAAGUCCCAUUAACGAGCGCAACCCUCAUCGUUAGUUACCAGCGGAUCAUGCCGGGGACUCUAACGAGACUGCCACCGUAAGGUGAGAGGAAGGUGGGGAUGACGUCAAAUCAGCACGGCCCUUAUAUCCAGGGCUACACACGUGUUACAAUGGCCAGUACAAAGGGCAGCUACCUGGUGACAGGAUGCUAAUCUCGAAAACUGGUCUCAGUUCGGAUCGAAGUCUGCAACUCGACUUCGUGAAGUUGGAUUCGCUAGUAAUCGCGCAUCAGCAAUGGCGCGGUGAAUACGUUCCCGGGCCGUU
rnacentral:rRNA from 1 species